GACGAACGCUGGCGGCGUGCUUAACACAUGCAAGUCGAACGGAAAGGCCCCCAUCUUGGUGGGGGUGCUCGAGUGGCGAACGGGUGAGUAACACGUGGGUGAUCUGCCCUGUACUUCGGGAUAAGCUUGGGAAACUGGGUCUAAUACCGGAUAGGACCAUGGUUUAGUGUCUCAUGGUGGAAAGAUUAUUGUUUUGGUGCAGGAUGAGCUCGCAGCCUAUCAGCUUGUUGGUGGGGUAAUGGCCUACCAAGGCGUCGACGGGUAGCCGGCCUGAGAGGGUGGACGGCCACAUUGGGACUGAGACACGGCCCAGACUCCUACGGGAGGCAGCAGUGGGGAAUAUUGCACAAGGGGCGCAAGCCUGAUGCAGCGACGCCGCGUGGGGGAUGACGGCCUUCGGGUUGUAAACUCCUUUCGUUAGGGACGAAGCCACGCUUGUUGGGUGUGGUGACGGUACCUUUGUUAAGAAGCACCGGCUAACUACGUG
rnacentral:rRNA from 1 species